rnacentral:rRNA from 1 species
CCUACGGGAGGCAGCAGUGGGGAAUUUUGGACAAUGGGCGCAAGCCUGAUCCAGCCAUGCCGCGUGUGGGAAGAAGGCCUUCGGGUUGUAAACCACUUUUGUCAGGGAAGAAACGGUUUGUCCUAAUACGGCGGACUAAUGACGGUACCUGAAGAAUAAGCACCGGCUAACUACGUGCCAGCAGCCGCGGUAAUACGUAGGGUGCAAGCGUUAAUCGGAAUUACUGGGCGUAAAGCGUGCGCAGGCGGCUUUGCAAGACAGAUGUGAAAUCCCCGGGCUCAACCUGGGAACUGCAUUUGUGACUGCAUGGCUAGAGUACGGUAGAGGGGGAUGGAAUUCCGCGUGUAGCAGUGAAAUGCGUAGAUAUGCGGAGGAACACCGAUGGCGAAGGCAAUCCCCUGGACCUGUACUGACGCUCAUGCACGAAAGCGUGGGGAGCAAACAGGAUUAGAUACCCUGGUAGUCCACGCCCUAAACGAUGUCAACUGGUUGUUGGACGGCUUGCUGUUCAGUAACGAAGCUAACGCGUGAAGUUGACCGCCUGGGGAUACGGCCGCAAGGUUGAAACUCAAAGAGUAGUAGGACGNGAGAGAGACGACGACGACGACGAGGAGGGAGGAGG